rnacentral:tRNA from 1 species
GGAGGGGUGGCCGAGUGGCUGAAGGCAACGGUCUUGAAAACCGUCGAGUGUAACAGCUCCCAGAGUUCGAAUCUCUGUCCUUCCGCCA